UACGUAGGGGGCAAGCGUUGUCCGGAAUCAUUGGGCGUAAAGAGCGCGUAGGCGGUCCGGUAAGUCCGCUCUGAAAGUCCGGGGCUCAACCCCGGGAGGCGGGCGGAUACUGUCGGGCUAGAGUCCGGAAGAGGCGAGUGGAAUUCCUGGUGUAGCGGUGAAAUGCGUAGAUAUCUGGAGGAACACCGGUGGCGAAGGCGGCAUCCUGGACCGAGAUUGACGCUGAUGCGCGAAAGCCAGGGGAGCAAACGGG
rnacentral:rRNA from 1 species